rnacentral:rRNA from 1 species
GACGAACGCUGGCGGCGUGCUUAACACAUGCAAGUCGAACGGAAAGGCCCUGCUCUUGCAGUGUUCUCGAGUGGCGAACAGGUGAGUAACACGUGAGUAAACUCCCCUUGACUUUGGGAUAACUUCAGGAAAAUGGGGCUAUUACCGCGCAUGAGCCUCUGCUGCAUGUUGGGGGUUGGAAAGUUUGGGCGGAUGGGGAUGGACUGGCGGGUUACCAGCUUGCUUGUGGGGUAGUGGCUUACCAAGGCUUUGACGGGUAGCCGGCCUGAGAGGGUGACCGGCCACAUUGGGACUGAGAGACGGCCCAGACUCCUACGGGAGGCAGAAGUGGGGAGUAUUGCAGAAUGGGCGGAAGCCUGAUGCAGAAACGCCGCGUGCGGGAUGACGGCCUUCGGGUUGUAAACCGCUUUCGCCUGUGACGAAGCGUGAGUGACGGUAAUGGGUAAAGAAGCACCGGCUAACUACGUG